rnacentral:rRNA from 1 species
AACAGGAUUAGAUACCCUGGUAGUCCACGCCCUAAACGAUGUCAACUAGUUGUCGGGUCUUAAUUGACUUGGUAACGCAGCUAACGCGUGAAGUUGACCGCCUGGGGAGUACGGUCGCAAGAUUAAAACUCAAAGGAAUUGACGGGGACCCGCACAAGCGGUGGAUGAUGUGGAUUAAUUCGAUGCAACGCGAAAAACCUUACCUACCCUUGACAUGUACGGAAGCCUCGAGAGAUCGGGGCGUGCUCGAAAGAGAGCCGUAACACAGGCGCUGCAUGGCUGUCGUCAGCUCGUGUCGUGAGAUGUUGGGUUAAGUCCCGCAACGAGCGCAACCCUUGUCAUUAGUUGCUACGAAAGGGCACUCUAAUGAGACUGCCGGUGACAAACCGGAGGAAGGUGGGGAUGACGUCAAGUCCUCAUGGCCCUUAUGGGUAGGGCUUCACACGUCAUACAAUGGUACAUACAGAGGGCCGCCAACCCGCGAGGGGGAGCUAAUCCCAGAAAGUGUAUCGUAGUCCGGAUUGCAGUCUGCAACUCGACUGCAUGAAGUUGGAAUCGCUAGUAAUCGCGGAUCAGCAUGUCGCGGUGAAUACGUUCCCGGGUCUUGUACACACCGCCCGUCACACCAUGGGAGCGGGUUUUACCAGAAGUAGGUAGCUUAACCGCAAGGAGGGCGCUUACCACGGUAGGAUUCGUGACUGGGGUGAAGUCGUAACAAGGUAACC